CGGCGCCAUUUUGUCCCGGCAGCAGCAGCCCGCAGCUCUAUCCCAUUUUCUGUGUCUGGAGGGAAGGACGCGGACUCUCUCGGGUAGGUUUAUUUCAGUGUGGCACCGGCUUACCCUUCCCUCCAGGACAACGCCUAGCGAAGGGUGGAGGAGUCACGGAGUCGUCCGAGAGAGUUGUGCUGAAGACAACAGACACCUCCAUGACAACCCAAAGUAUCACAGAGGAAAUGAAAAGCUGUGGACUCAUUCAAAGUUAAUUAAGAUUAGGUAUGACCAUGGAAGACUUGUGUAUGACCAUGGAAGACUUCUAGAGAAUCUUGACUGGUGAUGUGGAAAAAGAGACCCAGAAGAACAAAAAAACAGGUGACUGUAAUGCUGGUCCCCCUGUGCAGGAACAGCUCAGGAGACUGUCGGAGACAUGAGUGUCCUUGUAGAAGCCAGCAGUCUUGUUGGCUGUCAGGUCCUCAGGACUUAGUAUUAUUACAUGUCAUCCUUUCAUGUGGCAUGAAUGAGGAUUUAUAAAGCCCUAUUACGGUUUGGUUAUGCAGUCCAAACAGACUUACAAAGAUUUACAGAUUAAUUUUACUGCUCAAGCAUAGAGCAGAGACUCCUCAUUAGCUAAUUUGUGCAUACUACACUUUCCGUACACGUGUUACUGCAAAAAUGUCCCUACAGUGUUACCAGAGCUGGGGCAGGAAGUAAGGGUGGAAUUCCUGAGCUCACUGACACUGAUGCUGAAGGAAGCAGGAGGUGGGCGGAGCUGGCAGUGGUGAGAGCCACGUGGAUACAUGGGAUGGUGGAGGAGUCAGGAAAAGUUAGUAGCUAGCUGAGACUGUCCUAGCAAAAGACCAACAGCUUUAUUUUCUUCAAAAUUUAAUAAUAAACUGUAGAAAUAAACUAUUUUGAAAGAGUAGUUCAUAGAUUCCAUUGAGAAUGUAAUUAAUUGAC
rnacentral:lncRNA from 1 species